AGAGUUUGAUCCUGGCUCAGAACUAACGCUGGCGGCGUGCCUAACACAUGCAAGUCGCGCGGUCGCCAUUUUGUAGCAAUACAGAAGAAGCGAUAGCGGCAGACGGGUGAGUAACACGUAACCAAUCUACCUUACCGUCCGGGAUAACUAACCGAAAGGUUAGCUAAUACCUGAUGCGACUAUCGAGCGGCAUCGUUUGAUAGUGAAAGCAGUAAUGCGCGGUUCGAGGAGGUUGCGGCCCAUUAGCCAGUUGGCGGGGUAACGGCCCACCAAAGCAACGAUGGGUAGCUGGUCUGAGAGGACGACCAGCCACACUGGGACUGAGACACGGCCCAGACUCCUACGGGAGGCAGCAGUGAGGAAUUUUCCGCAAUGGGCGCAAGCCUGACGGAGCGACGCCGCGUGCACGAGGAAGGUCUUCGGAUCGUAAAGUGCUGUCGAGGGGGACGAUUAUGACGGUACCCCUGGAGGAAGCCCCGGCUAACUACGUGCCAGCAGCCGCGGUAAUACGUAGGGGGCAAGCGUUGUUCGGAAUUACUGGGCGUAAGGGGUGCGUAGGCGGGUCUGUAAGUCGGGGUUGAAAUAUCCGGGCUCAACUC
rnacentral:rRNA from 1 species